AUUGAACGCUGGCGGCAUGCUUUACACAUGCAAGUCGGACGGCAGCACAGAGAAGCUUGCUUCUUGGGUGGCGAGUGGCGAACGGGUGAGUAAUAUAUCGGAACGUACCGAGUAAUGGGGGAUAACUAAUCGAAAGAUUAGCUAAUACCGCAUAUUCUCUGAGGAGGAAAGCAGGGGACCUUCGGGCCUUGCGUUAUUCGAGCGGCCGAUAUCUGAUUAGCUAGUUGGUGGGGUAAAGGCCUACCAAGGCGACGAUCAGUAGCGGGUCUGAGAGGAUGAUCCGCCACACUGGGACUGAGACACGGCCCAGACUCCUACGGGAGGCAGCAGUGGGGAAUUUUGGACAAUGGGCGCAAGCCUGAUCCAGCCAUGCCGCGUGUCUGAAGAAGGCCUUCGGGUUGUAAAGGACUUUUGUCAGGGAAGAAAAGGCUGUUGCUAAUAUCGACAGCUGAUGACGGUACCUGAAGAAUAAGCACCGGCUAACUACGUGCCAGCAGCCGCGGUAAUACGUAGGGUGCGAGCGUUAAUCGGAACUACUGGGCGUAAAGCGAGCGCAGACGGUUACUUAAGCAGGAUGUGAAAUCCCCGGGCUCAACCUGGGAACUGCGUUCUGAACUGGGUGACUAGAGUGUGUCAGAGGGAGGUAGAAUUCCACGUGUAGCAGUGAAAUGCGUAGAGAUGUGGAGGAAUACCGAUGGCGAAGGCAGCCUCCUGGGAUAACACUGACGUUCAUGCUCGAAAGCGUGGGUAGCAAACAGG
rnacentral:rRNA from 1 species